CAGUCGCCGCGGGAAUACAGAGGGUGCGAGCGUUAAUCGGAUUUACUGGGCGUAAAGCGUGCGUAGGCGGCUUUUUAAGUCGGAUGUGAAAUCCCUGAGCUUAACUUAGGAAUUGCAUUCGAUACUGGGAAGCUAGAGUAUGGGAGAGGAUGGUAGAAUUCCAGGUGUAGCGGUGAAAUGCGUAGAGAUCUGGAGGAAUACCGAUGGCGAAGGCAGCCAUCUGGCCUAAUACUGACGCUGAGGUACGAAAGCAUGGGGAGCAAACAGGAUUAGAUACCCCCGUAGUCCCUGUCCUUAUACA
rnacentral:rRNA from 1 species